UACGUAGGGGGCAAGCGUUAUCCGGAUUUACUGGGUGUAAAGGGAGCGUAGACGGCAGCGCAAGUCUGGAGUGAAAUGCCGGGGCUCAACCCCGGAACUGCUUUGGAAACUGUGCAGCUAGAGUGCGGGAGAGGUAAGCGGAAUUCCUAGUGUAGCGGUGAAAUGCGUAGAUAUUAGGAGGAACACCAGAGGCGAAGGCGGCUUACUGGACCGUAACUGACGUUGAGGCUCGAAAGCGUGGGGAGCAAACAGG
rnacentral:rRNA from 1 species